AAUUGGGAUUCUGCCUUUGGGGAAGUGCUUCCUUUCAGGGACUAGAGAGGAAGAAGAGGAUUUAUCUGACUCAACUGGAGAUGGCUCCCUUCCCUUAUUUAUUGUUGCAUCCUGAAGCUUCCCCCAUGCUGGGCUCAGUGUGAACAAACAGCGCGGGAGAAUGCAACCACUGCAGAGGCAUAUGUUUGAGAUACCUGGCCACUGGAGGUCAUCUCGUCUACUAUAUUCACCGCAGAUAAAGAAUGAAAAGAGAAUACACAACCUUGUGAUUGCUAGCAGUGAAAGCUCAGAGUUAUGACAUAACAAUUGGUUGGAAAGAACCCAAGGGGACAUGGGCACAGCAUCCCUUCCUGGGCCUCUUCCUCAGGUGGUGCGGGUGGGAAAUCAGGAAGCUCCCAGACAUGGAGCAACUCAGGUGAUCAUGGAACAGAGAGACGGAGUCUCGCCCUGUCACCCAGGCAGGAGUGCAAUUGUGCAAUCUUGGCUCACUGCAACCUCUGCCUCCCGGGUUCAAGUGAUUCUCCUGCCUCAGCCUCCGGAGUAGCUGG
rnacentral:lncRNA from 10 species